rnacentral:rRNA from 1 species
UACGUAGGGGGCGAGCGUUGUCCGGAUUUAUUGGGAGUAAAGAGCGUGUAGGCGGCCGAGCAGGUCCGUUGUGAAAACUGAAGGCUCAACCUUCAGAGGUCGAUGGAAACCGCUCGGCUAGAGUCCGGAAGAGGAGAGUGGAAUUCCUGGUGUAGCGGUGAAAUGCGCAGAUAUCAGGAAGAACACCCGUGGCGAAAGCGGCUCUCUGGGACGGUACUGACGCUGAGACGCGAAAGCGCGGGGAGCGAACAGG